UUUAAGGUCGGGCCUGCCCAAUGAUUUUUUAAAUGGCCGCAGUAUUAUGACUGUGCAAAGGUAGCAUAAUCAUUAGUUUUUUAAUUGAAAGCUUGUAUGAAAGGUUUGAUGAGAAAUUAAUUGUCUCUAUUUAAAUGUUUUAGAAUUUAAUGUUUAAGUGAGAAGGCUUAAAUAUUUUAAAAAGACGAGAAGACCCUAUAGAGUUUAACUCUUCUUUUAAGUUUAAUUUUAGGGUUAAUUUUGAUUUGGAUAGGAGUUUUGUUGGGGUGACAAAUAAAUUUAAUUAACUUUAUUUUAUUUUUUCAUUAAUUGGUGUGUUUUUGAUCCUUUUUUUAAGAUUAAAAGAUAAAAUUACCUUAGGGAUAACAGCGUAAUUUUUUUUGAAAGUUCUUAUUGAUAAAAAAGUUUGCGACCUCGAUGUUGGAUUAAAAUAAAUUAUUGGUGUAGCAGCUAAAUAAUUGGGUCUGUUCGACCUUUAAAAUUUUACA
rnacentral:rRNA from 1 species